AACGCGAAGAACCUUACCUACCCUUGACAUCCUGCGAAGCCUGAAGAGAUUUAGGCGUGCCGAAAGGAGCGCAGAGACAGGUGCUGCAUGGCUGUCGUCAGCUCGUGUUGUGAGAUGUUGGGUUAAGUCCCGUAACGAGCGCAACCCUUGUCCUUAGUUGCCAGCAUUUAGUUGGGGACUCUAAGGAGACUGCCGGUGAGGAAUCGGAGGAAGGCGGGGACGACGUCAAGUCAUCAUGGCCUUUAUGGGUAGGGCUACACACGUGCUACAAUGGGGCGUACAGAGGGUCGCGAACCCGCGAGGGGGAGCCAAUCCCGAAAAGCGCCUCGUAGUCCGGAUUGGAGUCUGCAACUCGACUCCAUGAAGUUGGAAUCGCUAGUAAUCGCGAAUCAGCGAUGUCGCGGUGAAUACGUUCCCGGGCCUUGUACACACCGAGACGAC
rnacentral:rRNA from 1 species